ACGGGAGGCAGCAGUGGGGAAUAUUGGGCAAUGGGCGAAAGCCUGACCCAGCAACGCCGCGUGGAGGAAGAAGAUCUUCGGAUUGUAAACUUCUUUUAUGAGGGACGAGGGACGUGACGGUACCUCAUGAAUAAGCCACGGCUAACUACGUGCCAGCAGCCGCGGUAACACGUAGGUGGCGAGCGUUAUCCGGAUUUACUGGGUGUAAAGGGCGCGUAGGCGGGGUUGCAAGUCAGAUGUGAAAUCUAUGGGCUUAACUCAUAAACUGCAUUUGAAACUGUAACUCUUGAGUGCUGGAGAGGUAGACGGAAUUCCUUGUGUAGCGGUGAAAUGCGUAGAUAUAAGGAAGAGCACCAGUGGCGAAGGCGGUCUACUGGACAGUAACUGACGCUGAGGCGCGAAAGCGUGGGGAGCAAACAGGAUUAGAUACCCUGGUA
rnacentral:rRNA from 1 species